rnacentral:rRNA from 1 species
GAUGAACGCUGGCGGCGUGCCUAAUACAUGCAAGUCGAGCGAACAGAUGAGGAGCUUGCUCCUCUGACGUUAGCGGCGGACGGGUGAGUAACACGUGGAUAACCUACCUAUAAGACUGGGAUAACUUCGGGAAACCGGAGCUAAUACCGGAUAAUAUAUUGAACCGCAUGGUUCAAUAGUGAAAGACGGUUUUGCUGUCACUUAUAGAUGGAUCCGCGCCGCAUUAGCUAGUUGGUAAGGUAACGGCUUACCAAGGCAACGAUGCGUAGCCGACCUGAGAGGGUGAUCGGCCACACUGGAACUGAGACACGGUCCAGACUCCUACGGGAGGCAGCAGUAGGGAAUCUUCCGCAAUGGGCGAAAGCCUGACGGGGCAACGCCGCGUGAGUGAUGAAGGUCUUCGGAUCGUAAAACUCUGUUAUUAGGGAAGAACAAAUGUGUAAGUAACUAUGCACGUCUUGACGGUACCUAAGCAGAAAGCCACGGCUAACUACGU